rnacentral:rRNA from 1 species
GAUGAACGCUGGCGGCGUGCCUAAUACAUGCAAGUCGAGCGAACAGACGAGGAGCUUGCUCCUCUGACGUUAGCGGCGGACGGGUGAGUAACACGUGGAUAACCUACCUAUAAGACUGGGAUAACUUCGGGAAACCGGAGCUAAUACCGGAUAAUAUAUUGAACCGCAUGGUUCAAUAGUGAAAGACGGUUUUGCUGUCACUUAUAGAUGGAUCCGCGCCGCAUUAGCUAGUUGGUAAGGUAACGGCUUACCAAGGCGACGAUGCGUAGCCGACCUGAGAGGGUGAUCGGCCACACUGGAACUGAGACACGGUCCAGGCUCCUACGGGAGGCAGCAGUAGGGAAUCUUCCGCAAUGGGCGAAAGCCUGACGGAGCAACGCCGCGUGAGUGAUGAAGGUCUUCGGAUCGUAAAACUCUGUUAUUAGGGAAGAACAAAUGUGUAAGUAACUAUGCACGUCUUGACGGUACCUAAUCAGAAAGCCACGGCUAACUACGCG